GUGCUUUGGCAGCACAUAUGCUAAAUAGGAACAACACAGAGAAACUUAGCAUGGCCCUGUGCAAGGAUGACAUGCAAAUUCGUGAAGUGUUCCAUAUUCAG
rnacentral:snRNA from 1 species